AGUGAACGCUGGCGAUAGGCCUAACACAUGCAAGUCGAACGGCAGCACAGUAAGAGCUUGCUCUUACGGGUGGCGAGUGGCGGGCGGGUGAGGAAUACAUCGGAAUCUACUUUUUCGUGGGGGAUAACGUAGGGAAACUUACGCUAAUACCGCAUACGACCUACGGGUGAAAGCAGGGGAUCUUCGGACCUUGCGCGAUUGAAUGAGCCGAUGUCGGAUUAGCUAGUUGGCGGGGUAAAGGCCCACCAAGGCGACGAUCCGUAGCUGGUCUGAGAGGAUGAUCAGCCACACUGGAACUGAGACACGGUCCAGACUCCUACGGGAGGCAGCAGUGGGGAAUAUUGGGCAAUGGGCGCAAGCCUGAUCCAGCCAUACCGCGUGGGUGAAGAAGGCCUUCGGGUUGUAAAGCCCUUUUGUUGGGAAAGAAAAGCAGCAGGUUAAUACCCCGCUGUUCUGACGGUACCCAAAGAAUAAGCACCGGCUAACUUCGUG
rnacentral:rRNA from 1 species